CUGUAUUCAGCCUGUCCCUUGCGCUGAAGCGCACGCGCAGACGGCCCAACUGGCGCGUCAUCCAUGGCAAGACUGAGCGACCAAGCGCCGGCGAAGCAGCCAUUAAGGGGCCAGU
rnacentral:lncRNA from 1 species